UCAUGGCAAGCGUUGUCCGGCUCUGAGCUUGAUCCUGGCUCAGGACGAACGCUGGCGGCGUGCCUAAUACAUGCAAGUCGAGCGGACAAUAGGGAGCUUGCUCCCUAUUGUUAGCGGCGGACGGGUGAGUAACACGUGGGCAACCUGCCCUGUAGACUGGGAUAACAUCGAGAAAUCGGUGCUAAUACCGGAUAAUAAAUGGAAUUGCAUAAUUCCAUUAUAAAAGAUGGCUCCGGCUAUCACUACAGGAUGGGCCCGCGGCGCAUUAGCUAGUUGGUAAGGUAACGGCUUACCAAGGCAACGAUGCGUAGCCGACCUGAGAGGGUGAUCGGCCACACUGGGACUGAGACACGGCCCAGACUCCUACGGGAGGCAGCAGUAGGGAAUCUUCCGCAAUGGACGAAAGUCUGACGGAGCAACGCCGCGUGAGCGAUGAAGGCCUUCGGGUUGUAAAGCUCUGUUGUUAGGGAAGAACAAGUGCCAUUCAAAUAGGGUGGCACCUUGACGGUACCUAACCAGAAAGCCAUCAGUGACUAAUCUAACGUGCCAGCAGCUCUGCU
rnacentral:rRNA from 1 species